AACGAACGCUGGCGGCAUGCCUAACACAUGCAAGUCGAACGAGACCUUCGGGUCUAGUGGCGCACGGGUGCGUAACGCGUGGGAACCUGCCCUUAGGUUCGGAAUAACUCCCCGAAAGGGGUGCUAAUACCGGAUAAUGUCUUCGGGCCAAAGAUUUAUCGCCUUUGGAUGGGCCCGCGUUGGAUUAGCUAGUUGGUAGGGUAAAAGCCUACCAAGGCGACGAUCCAUAGCUGGUCUGAGAGGAUGAUCAGCCACACUGGGACUGAGACACGGCCCAGACUCCUACGGGAGGCAGCAGUGGGGAAUAUUGGACAAUGGGCGAAAGCCUGAUCCAGCAAUGCCGCGUGAGUGAUGAAGGCCUAGGGUUGUAAAGCUCUUUUACCCGGGAUGAUAAUGACAGUACCGGGAGAAUAAGCUCCGGCUAACUCCGUG
rnacentral:rRNA from 1 species